rnacentral:miRNA from 1 species
CUUUGUUCACCCCGCUUAAUCGGACCAGUUUGGCUUGAUGUGGUCCGAUUAAGCGGG